UGAAGUUGACGUGAACUUGACGCAGCACCAAGCAUUUCCAUCCAAAUUUCAGUGGAAAUUCCAAGCAAAGCAGGCCGGAGGGGAGGCACGGCAGCACCAACCUUGGGAAGAGCAACUGUGAGUGUGGGGAACCUUAAACGUGGAAAAGAACUGUGGGGAAAAUGAAGAUACAUAGCAAAAACUGAAUGCGUGGUGGCCUUCCCAUUGAUGGGAAUUUCUCUCCCCUAACUGCACGCUGGCAGCUCCGUGCAACACAAGCAGGGAUGUGAACCACAGGACAUUUCCUCAUCCAAGUCCGUUCUGGAAGGGCAGUAUUUCACCGAGAGAGAGAACAUGCGCGUUGCAAGUGCAAAGAGAAGCGUAAGACCCUCUAAAUGUCUGGCCCCAGGCAAUCUGUUUCCUUUCACAGGGCUGCUCUUGAAGCAGGUCUGCAAGGACUUAUCGCUUCCAUCUGCGCCGCAGAGACAAGGGCACUGUUCUCACCCCAGUUCCAUACAGACAUCCCAGAAAUGCCGACAGCCACCACGGCCCCGGAACAGAAUAUUCCUGCACGUCUCAGCAAGUUUCCCAAGCUGCACAUGUGGGGACGUGCCGCCACACACACCCCCUGUGCAGGAGGCUCCUGGGAACCCAACCAUGCAUAUCGGUGGUAGCACACAAAUGCUGCCCAGCCCCUUCCAGGAGCACCUGGAGAUGUUUCCAGAAGGCUCUGCACGGACACGGCAUGCUGCUCGACCAAACCUGCCUGUUGUGAAGCGGAUUGCUAACGCAAGCCAAGUUCAUGGAAGGAGAAGCACUUAUUUAGUGCAAUUUAGCAGUCACCUGUGUACCUGGGAAAUCUGCUCGGUGCUAAAGGUUUGUCUGAGCCCUGGUUCUGCGGGAAUAAAUGAGGACACGUGCUGGGCAAGAGCAGCAAGAGGCAACCAGACCUGUGCUGAGCUAACCCUCCUUCCACCCAGUGCCCAAGAAAUGUAUCUGUGA
rnacentral:lncRNA from 1 species